rnacentral:tRNA from 1 species
GGGGAUGUAGCUUAGUGGUAGAGCACCUACCUAGGAUGGCAAGACUGUGGGUUCCAUCCCCA